rnacentral:pre_miRNA from 11 species
GAUCGCAUAGGAUAAUCGAUCUUUCCGUGCGGUCUGUAUAAAUGGACCGCACGGGAUAAUCGAUUAUCCUGUGCGGUC